rnacentral:rRNA from 1 species
CUGCCUGUAAGACUGGGAUAACUCCGGGAAACCGGGGCUAAUACCGGAUGCUUGUUUGAACCGCAUGGUUCAAACAUAAAAGGUGGCUUCGGCUACCACUUACAGAUGGACCCGCGGCGCAUUAGCUAGUUGGUGAGGUAAUGGCUCACCAAGGCAACGAUGCGUAGCCGACCUGAGAGGGUGAUCGGCCACACUGGGACUGAGACACGGCCCAGACUCCUACGGGAGGCAGCAGUAGGGAAUCUUCCGCAAUGGACGAAAGUCUGACGGAGCAACGCCGCGUGAGUGAUGAAGGUUUUCGGAUCGUAAAGCUCUGUUGUUAGGGAAGAACAAGUACCGUUCGAAUAGGGCGGUACCUUGACGGUACCUAACCAGAAAGCCACGGCUAACUACGUGCCAGCAGCCGCGGUAAUACGUAGGUGGCAAGCGUUGUCCGGAAUUAUUGGGCGUAAAGGGCUCGCAGGCGGUUCCUUAAGUCUGAUGUGAAAGCCCCCGGCUCAACC